UUAAUAAAAAUUAACGAUGGUAAUAGAAGAAGCAGUGGAUGGUGGAAACGAUGGCGGUGUCUGUGAGUGGCGGAGGAAGUAACAUUACUGGUGGUGGAAGAAAUAGUAGAGGUGGAAAAUAUAAAUCCACGGCUGUGGUUAUCCAGACCAAACCCAUCAACCGCAUGUGUGGCACAGCUUCUAGGUCGUGUAAUGAGAAAUCAAGGAUCUCCACAUCGUUCUGUCAGUAUCUGAGAUCCAGAAUUUUCCGCCGCUGCUGAAACCCAUUGUUUGAUCACUUAGUCUUCUCCCUGUAAUCGUUAAACAUGGAACCCAAAGGUUCCUUUUGCACGAUUAUCUUGAUCAUCAUGUUAAUUUUUUGGAUGUUCUACGUGAUUUUGAAAUAUGCUUUGGUUCCCAAGGAAGAUCAGUUGCAAUUUUUUUUGGAAAAAAAACCAAAUUCCAGGUAUGAUUUCCAGAAGAAUCGAGUUUGAGUUUGCUAUUUGAUUAAUUUUAGUCCAAAAUAGUUUUAAAAUUUUGAUUAAUUUGUCCGGAAUAAAAAAAAUUGUUAAAAAGAACUACCUAGAGCUAAAAAUUAUCAAGUAUUCAUUUUAUUCUCCGAUUCCUUCAAGAUCAGAACUUUGAUUAGUUAUCUGUGUGAAUUUUCUAUUAAUUAGAAUUUUGAUUCAUUCUGUGUGUGAAAUUUUGAUUUAUUUUUGAUUAAGGUCCGUUUUCAAGCUAGGAAUUGGUCUUUCCGUUCAUGCCAUGGUGCUCUUAAUUUUGAAUUUAUUAUCAAUUUAAACCCGGUUGCUUCCUUACGCAUCAAUGUUUCAUGGUGAGCCGUUUAAGGUUCUUUAUAUAUAAUUGCCUUUUCAAAUGUGCAGUUACAAUCUUAUUAAUUUUAACCAAGGAACUGUGCGGUUCUUUCAGCCUUUCAUGUUCCUUUGUGUUAUAAAUUUCUUGCUUUCCUUCCCCUGUGCUUUACCUCUCCACUUUCCUUCAGUUUCAUCUGCAUUAAAACUUAUUAUUGUUGCCUUAAUCUGUAAUGCUACAAAACCCCUCUCGAUCGAAAGUGUCUUCCGUCUAAACUCCCGCUCAUUGCAUUUACACCUUAAUAUUCUCUGAUUUUAACUCACCAAAUACCUUGGUAUUAUCUUAAUCGGCUAUUGUUCAUGAGGUAGUAUUCUUCUGUAUUGGAAAAUCCAACCGAAGGAGUAACCAAGUUUUUUUCGGUUCUUUCUUGACAUCUCUUAUUUUAGGCUGACAAUACAAGCUUGGGAUUGUUAAUUGAUGUUUAUACUCUGAACUUACACUAUUCAAUUGAUGUUAUUUUCCCCUUCUCCCAUUCCAUCUCUUAUUUCUUCAUGUUCUAACUGAAGAAUUAGUGCAAUGAAUUAUAUAUAGAGUAUCAAAAGAUUGUACCUUUACGUCCAUGAAGGGUUGGCAUUCUGGAUUGAAAAUCAUUUUCAUCUUUAAUUAAUGUACAUUUGUUUUGUUUUUUCAUGGGUUUGAAUUUAGUAAUCUAAUGAAAUUUGUUUAGCUGAUAUCAUUAGGAAAUGAAUUUAUGGUUAGCCAAUUUUUGCAUGUUGUGCAGUUCAAAAAGAUCUAUUUGCUUGGAUUUGAAAGUGAAUAUAUAUGUGCAGUAUUCGUUCUUCGAUGAAACUCUUGGAUGUUGUUUCAAACUCAAAGUUUAUCAUUCCAUCACUACAGUAUUACCUAACAAAAAAGAAGAGAUUGUGAUUUCUCUGAUUCUUUACAAUUCCUUCUAUUAGUUAAUUCUCUAAUGGUAAUAGAAGAACCCAAAAAAAUUCUUUAUCAGAAGUCACUCUUCAUUCCUCCAAAUCUAAUUGCUGGCUAACCAUCCAUGCCAAAAAAGUAGGUCUAACUGGUAGUAUGUAAUCUUUUAAUUCUUGUAUUAGGAUCCUAACCCAACGGUGAUGCUUUUUACUACUUAAACUAUUUAUGAUGUAAACAAUUUUUCGGAAGAACAUCCAGGACGACAAGAUGUUCAACUAGAAUCUGCAGUGAGUAAUUAUUUUAUAUGAAAUUAUUUGAUUUUAAUUUUAGGAGCAAUUUUUUUUUAUUGAGGCUUAUUUUUAUGAAUAAAUGUUAGAAAUAGGAUUAUCCUAUUUAUGGAUAAGUUGUUUUUGUAGGUAUGUGAUGUUUUAUAAUUGUUUAAUGGACUAUUAAGAUACUUCAAGGUGGCCGAUAAUGCCUCUCUGUCUUAUUCGCACCAGCAUUUAGAGAACGGUAACCUGCUGGAUAAUCUCUGUUAUCUUUUAAGGUUCCCUCUACAUAUUAGGUCUACAGUACCAGAUUGGUUUCAACGAUUCAGAUGAAAUUCAAAAUUAAUACAUUCUUGCAUGGUUGUCUCAAUCGUGAGAGAUGAGCUCAAAAGGUUUCAAUAUGAUCUCAGUACGUACUUCUCCAUACCCAAGGAUAUCAGGAAAGUUGUCGAGGAAAAUAUACAUGCACAUAUCUUACACUAACUUGAAAAUGGUUCUUUGUUGAUUUGUAUGCCAAGUUGUGAAGCUUUACUUGCACAUAUAUUCGAGAGCUACUUGAAGCCAAUCAUCUAAUAUGAGUGAAUAUAAAUUUUAACUUUUGGGUAUAAUGGGAGUGAGUAUAAAGUUUUUAGAUUUACAAUUCAGCUAAGUGUGCAUCUAUGGAACGCAACUCGAUGAUGGUAGGCUUAUGUGUUGCUGAUCUAAAAGAUGUCUUUUGGCUCUUACAGAGGUGCAGUUGAGUUGGAGAUUAGGUUCUUUGAAAGAAAAUAUAAAUGGGUAUAUACAAAGAAAGAUCAAUUUUGUAGCAAAAACUUUUCUUCAGAUAUCCAUUUUGUCUUGCUCCGAAGAUAUUGAAAGAAUCGUAAGAAUGGAAAAUAAAUGUUUUUCUUUUUCCUUCACCGUUAAUAAGGAAUACUUGAUUUUUUUUUCA